rnacentral:rRNA from 1 species
AUUGAACGCUGGCGGCAGGCCUAACACAUGCAAGUCGAGCGGAUGAAGAGAGCUUGCUCUCUGAUUUAGCGGCGGACGGGUGAGUAAUGCCUAGGAAUCUGCCUGGUAGUGGGGGAUAACGUCCGGAAACGGGCGCUAAUACCGCAUACGUCCUACGGGAGAAAGCAGGGGACCUUCGGGCCUUGCGCUAUCAGAUGAGCCUAGGUCGGAUUAGCUAGUUGGUGAGGUAAUGGCUCACCAAGGCUACGAUCCGUAACUGGUCUGAGAGGAUGAUCAGUCACACUGGAAUUGAGACACGGUCCAGACUCCUACGGGAGGCAGCAGUGGGGAAUAUUGGACAAUGGGCGAAAGCCUGAUCCAGCCAUGCCGCGUGUGUGAAGAAGGUCUUCGGAUUGUAAAGCACUUUAAGUUGGGAGGAAGGGCAGUAAGUUAAUACCUUGCUGUUUUGACGUUACCGACAGAAUAAGCACCGGCUAACUUCGUGCCAGCCGCCGCAGUAAAAC